rnacentral:rRNA from 1 species
CAUUACCGAGUGAGGGCCCUCUGGGUCCAACCUCCCACCCGUGUCUAUCGUACCUUGUUGCUUCGGCGGGCCCGCCGUUUCGACGGCCGCCGGGGAGGCCUUGCGCCCCCGGGCCCGCGCCCGCCGAAGACCCCAACAUGAACGCUGUUCUGAAAGUAUGCAGUCUGAGUUGAUUAUCGUAAUCAGUUAAAACUUUCAACAACGGAUCUCUUGGUUCCGGCAUCGAUGAAGAACGCAGCGAAAUGCGAUAAGUAAUGUGAAUUGCAGAAUUCAGUGAAUCAUCGAGUCUUUGAACGCACAUUGCGCCCCCUGGUAUUCCGGGGGGCAUGCCUGUCCGAGCGUCAUUGCUGCCCUCAAGCACGGCUUGUGUGUUGGGCCCCCGUCCCCCUCUCCCGGGGGACGGGCCCGAAAGGCAGCGGCGGCACCGCGUCCGGUCCUCGAGCGUAUGGGGCUUUGUCACCUGCUCUGUAGGCCCGGCCGGCGCCAGCCGACACCCAACUUUAUUUUUCUAAGGUUGACCUCGGAUCAGGUAGGGAUACCCGCUGAACUUAAGCAUAUCAAUAAG